GAGUGCCUACGGGGGGCAGCAGUGGGGAAUAUUGCACAAUGGGGGAAACCCUGAUGCAGCAACGCCGCGUGAGUGAUGACGGCCUUCGGGUCGUAAAGCUCUGUCUUCAGGGACGAUAAUGACGGUACCUGAGGAGGAAGCCACGGCUAACUACGUGCCAGCAGCCGCGGGAAUACGUAGGUGGCGAGCGUUGUCCGGAUUUACUGGGCGUAAAGGGAGCGUAGGCGGACUUUUAAGUGAGAUGUGAAAUACUCGGGCUCAACUUGAGCGCUGCAUUUCAAACUGGAAGUCUAGAGUGCAGGAGG
rnacentral:rRNA from 1 species